AUGAAAUUGAAUGGUUGGUGUUUCCUGGAUCCUGUCCACUAUUACUGUGACCUUCAUUCUGCAUGCCCACUGCACAGUAUCUGUUGUGUAGAGACACUUCAGGGGAAGGUACUCCAUGCAGAGAAAAUUGUGCAAUCUCCUUUAUCUCAUGAGUUGCUAGUGUCAGAAAGUUUGAGGUUAGAUUACUUUGUACACCUUAAGGCAAGGCUGUUGGACAGUCCGAAACAGCGCACAACACCACUUAUUGACCUCCUCUCACGUUCCCAGGUACUGCACUGCCUAUUGAACUCCUCCUGUAACAGACCUAAUUGUCUGAAGAUUUCUUCCAUCUGGGUCCAUUUGCAGCUACGAUAUCUACUGCUAAGGAUGGAUGCUAGAGGGAUUUUCAGAAGACUUUGUCAUCACAAAUCAGAAAUCUUUCAGAGACAGGUGUCAUGAAGAGAAUGAACAAAAGGAAGCAAUGUCCAGAAAGGAGAUGUUCAAGAAUCAAGCUCAGGACAGCAAUUACGUCUGAAUGACCAAAAUGCUACAGGAAAAGCAGCACCAAAAAAG
rnacentral:lncRNA from 13 species